CCAACACGGCUGCUGUUGUGAGAGGCGGCGGUGGCGACCUCGUCCAGUGUUGCCAGAUUGGGCCAGAUUUCCCUCUCAAUCUGGCAACACUGGCUGGAUCGCAAAACCUGACCCAAUCUGGCAACCCUGUACGAGGAGCUAACACGCUAACACGCUCUGUACGGAGGCUACAGCGGCAGGAGGUGUUGACAGCGGCGGCCUCAGAGCCUCUCCCUUCUCGCUCCCGUUCCCCGCCGCGCAUCGUUUCUAGCGGGAGCUCCUUCGACUCACGAGCCCCGACGCGGCACGAGUGGUUUCCCGCGUGGGGAUAUUUCCGUUGACGUUACCACACGUUAGCUUUAGCAUUAGCAUCCCCGGCCCAGGACUCAGGCGGCGCACGGAGUGAAGUUCGCAGCGGACCCCAAACUUCUGCCUCCCCGCCUGGCCGCUGUCUUUCCGCGGGGUCCGGGCUCCUGUCGCCGGCCCUGUGGAUGAGAAGAGAGCCGCCCGCCCGGGAGGAAUCUCUGCAGCUUGAGGUGGUGGAACGGAGACUCCCCUAGCAGACGUUUCCUGCUUGGCAACCAGGUACUCCAGAAUGCGUGUCUUGAUGCUCUUGGUGAGCUCGCUGUCAUCUUCCUGUACCUUCACAACCUGCUCAUUGAAAAGGUGGAGUACAGGUUUUAAGUAUGACACACUGACAUACUGCUCCCCGGACAAGGCAUCAGUGAAGUCCACAAGAGGGCUAAGCGCUUUGCUGACAGCUUCAAGCACCUCAAUGUCCUGCCAUGUUAAAACCAAAUGCCUCGUCUUUUUGUCCGCUCGAAGGACCUGUGUAAGCGCUUCCUCCUGCUCAAGGACCCUUUCGAUCAUCUGCUGCCGAGAUCCCCAUCUUGUCGGAGUCUCUGUAAUGAGCUGGUGUGCAGGCAGGCCCAGCUCAGCCUGUGCAGUUGCAAGUUCACGCUUUCUCUUCCAAGAGUUGCAGAAUGCGCUUACUAUUUUCUUACAGACCCCCACCGCGCGCUCCACCUGUGGCACUUUCACACUUCUCUCUGUGAACAUAGAAU
ensembl:lncRNA